UACGUAGGGGGCUAGCGUUGUCCGGAAUCAUUGGGCGUAAAGCGCGUGUAGGCGGCCCGGUAAGUCCGCUGUGAAAGUCGGGGGCUCAACCCUCGGAAGCCGGUGGAUACUGUCGGGCUCGAGUACGGAAGAGGCGAGUGGAAUUCCUGGUGUAGCGGUGAAAUGCGCAGAUAUCAGGAGGAACACCGGUGGCGAAGGCGGGUCUCUGGGCAACAACUGACGCUGAGGAGCGAAAGCGUGGGGAGCGAACAGG
rnacentral:rRNA from 1 species